rnacentral:rRNA from 1 species
GAUCAUGGCUCAGGAUGAACGCUGGCGGCGUGCCUAACACAUGCAAGUCGAACGAGGUAUUUUGAUUGAAGUUUUCGGAUGGAUUUCAAGAUACCGAGUGGCGGACGGGUGAGUAACGCGUGGGUAACCUGCCUCAUACAGGGGGAUAACGGUUAGAAAUGACUGCUAAUACCGCAUAAGCGCACAGUACCGCAUGGUACGGUGUGAAAAACUCCGGUGGUAUGAGAUGGACCCGCGUCUGAUUAG